CAGAGUAGAUAUGUAUGCGUAUAGUGCCAUAUGAACAGGGAGUUGUCAGUGGACGAAAGCGAAGGCUGCGAUAUACAUAUCGAUUCCCACUG
rnacentral:ncRNA from 1 species